GUGUGCACAUUGGCAGCAUAUAUACUAAAAUUGUAGUGAUACAGAGAUCAUCAGUGUGACCCUCAUGCAAGAAUAACAUGCACCUUUGUGAAGCGCUUCAUAUAUAU
ensembl:snRNA U6 U6 spliceosomal RNA